AGCAGAGUAGAGCAGUGGUAGCUUGACAGCCUCCUUAGCUGUAGGUCGGUGGUUCGAUUCCAUCCUCUGCAA
rnacentral:tRNA from 1 species